AGCAUUGGCAUUGUUUUGUUUUCUUUUUUAUUACUACGUCGCCAUUUUGGAAACCCUUCAACCCCAUGACAUCAUAAAAGCAUGUUUCUUCCGUCCUACGCUGUGCAUGUAGCUCCUGCUGCUGAAUGUUAACUGUAGCGUAGACAAAGCAACCAACUAAUUGCCCCUUUAGAGCAAUGAAAUGUGAUGCAUUUAACUGUUUAGUUACCAAAACUGAUAGGAACUGACCUCAGGGCAUUCAGAUAUGAUGCUGACAAGAAUUGGAUCUAUUGUCUACUUGCAAAAAUUAAGCAAAUGGAUGAAUCGGAUCAAGUUUGCCUCACUUGGAAUGGACACAGGUGCAUUGAUUGAUUGAACAUUAAUUAGGGUGGAAAAUAAAAUAAAUCAAAAAUCAAAGAGUCCACCCAUGGCUCUCAGUAGCUUUGUAGGUGGGUUUUAAAAAAGGACUAGCUCUCAAGCAGAAUUUCAGUCUGCUAACAUGGACAGUGAGGAAAACUGCUCCCAUAACGGUGAUGAAAGAUGCUUGGGGAACUGCAAGUUUACAGAAGACUACAAAAAACAAGAAGCAAAGGGAUCAUGUUUAAAAAUUAUGGGACAGGAUGGUUAUGUGUUUAAAUCAUACAGCCUUACACUUCAUGAGGCCACAGAUGCAAAGCCUGCUUCCUAUUCCUCAGGGACAUUGGCUGAAGAACCACCUUCAGGGUUUUCUGCCCUUGACAGUAAGUCAGGAGGCUUGUCUUCUCAGGUUGAUGGUUCAUCAGAAUCUCCAACAUCAGGCGAACAGUCCUCUCAGAGGGAGAUGUGCAACAAAGAGGAUUGUCCCAUUUCUCCAUCCAUUUCAAAACAAAGUCCGGAGGCUGAGGCAAACUGCAUUGCUGAAAAGAUAAAAAUAGAGCCAGAAAGUGAAAUCGAUGCACAUAUUAAAGAGGAGGAAACAGAUUUCAGGGAUAAAGCAGUUCAAGAUGAUGAAAAUGUAUCCUUUGACACUAGAUAUGAUGAUUAUAGCAACUUGCUUAGUGGUUAUACUAGUACUCUUUAUGAUGUUGCAAUGGAUGCUGUGACACAGAGUCUUAUAUCAUCAAUAAGAAAUCCUGUUAGUCCUCGAAAGAAGUCUCCUGCUUGGAACCAUUUCUGCAUAUCUCCACGAGAUAGCACCAAAGCAAUCUGCUUGUAUUGUAUGAAAGAGUUCAGUCGGGGUAAGAAUGAAAGAGACCUCAGCACCAGUUGUCUGAUGCGGCAUGUGCGAAGGGCUCACCCCACUGUGCUUUUACAGGACAGUGAGCUUCCCUCCAGCACUUCAGUUAACUCUGUUGUCUCGUCCUUAAUACCUCCCACAAACCCACAAAAUAACAAAGAUCUGGCAGAGAACGCAACACCCACUUUGCAAAAAAAUACUUUACCAUCAGACCCAUCUGCAGAUAGCGCAGAGGUCUCGUCCAAAGAAGUGCUCCGAAUUACACCAAAGGUGGAGGAGUCUCCCAAACACCAUGCCCUCACGGACUCUAACUUGCAUUCUAGCAGCGAAUGUUACGAUGAUGGUGUGGAAGGAGCAUCUGAGCGCAUCCUUGCAAAUCCUAAAAACCCAAGCUCUCGGAGGAGGUCAGCAGUGUGGAAACACUUUUAUCUUUCCCCCACAGACAGCUCCAAGGCUGUUUGUGUGCACUGCAUGAAUGAAUUCAGCAGGGGAAAGAACGGUAAAGAUCUGGGAACAAGUUGUUUGAUACGUCAUAUGUGGCGGGCCCACCGAGACAUUGUCAUUGAGGAAAACCAACAGGGCUACAGCAUUCCACCGCCUUAUACUAACUCUCCAACUCUUCUGUCACACAUGAAGUUGCAGGAGGAAGAAGAGUUUAAAAAAGAGCCCUCCUCCAUUUCAUCAUCUCCUAAAGCAAUGUCGGAUGGGGUUCCCCAGUGUCUUAAUGAGGACAUUGAUGUCAACGAGGACUCAAACCAUGCGUUAUAUCAGUCAGGGCAAGAGUCUUCCCUUGACAUGUCAGUGACUAUAGGACUAGCGGGUGAAGGAGAGCUGCCUCGCACCUCCUCGCCUGAUGGUCUCCCUGAAGUCCCAGCGCUAAACAAAGAAAUUAUUUCGGUUUUCCAACAAAACAAGAAAAUCAUGAAGCGGGUAAAGUCAGAAGUGUGGCACCAUUUCAUUGUUUCCCCAGUAGACCAGCUCAAAGCACUGUGUCGGUACUGUUCUUGUGCAAUCAGCCGUGGGAAGCGUGGUGACUUUGGAACCAGCUGCUUGAUGAGACAUCUGGUGAGACGGCAUCCUGAUGUCCUGAAGAGCCAAAAAAGCAUGAAUGACAAUGCCUCCUCACCUCAGUCACCAAAUGUCAUCAGUACCGGGGAAGCACCAUCAGAAAAUGUAUCUGAUACCCCUCUCAUUGAGAAAAAACUUCACACAGUCCCAGUUUUUAGCAAAAAGACUUCAAAGCUGUGGAAUCACUUUUCCAUUAGUGCCACAGAUCCCACAAAGGUUGUUUGUUUGCACUGUAGCCGCACAAUAAGCAGAGGUAAAAAGACUACGAACCUUGGCACCAGUUGCUUAUUUAGGCACAUGCAGAGAUUUCAUGGACAUGCUCUAGAAAAAAACAACAGCAAUGUCUCAGGUGUUUCCUCUUCUGAAGUACAAACAAGAACUGAUGAAGUAAAACAAGGACUAAUCGACACAUCCUCUUAUGAAGAAAAUGUUGAAAGAUUUGAUGAGUCCCACCCAGUUGCCAAAAAAAUAACUAAACUUGUUGCUGAAAUGCUUGCACUGGAUCUACAGCCCGCUGCUCUAGUAGAGAAUGUGGGUCUCAACCGGUUACUAGAAUACCUGCAACCACAGUAUUCACUCCCCUCAUCUUCCUACUUUACCAGCACUGCCAUACCGGAAAUGUACAAGAGAGUGAAAGAUGUUGUCAUCACGCACCUUAAAGAGGCCGAGAGUGGCAUUGUCCAUUUCACUACAAGUGUCUGGGUCAACAGCCAGACACAGGAGUACCUGACCCUGACGGCACACUGGGUCACUUAUGAGUCAUGCAUACGACCUCAAGGCCAAGACUUCCACUGCUCCGCUGUCCUUAGCAUUUCUCCAAUUGACUGUGACUACAGUAUGCUCAAUAUUCAGAAGGAGCUGGAAUACCUCUGGGACACUUGGAUUAAUUCUUCAGGGCUGAAAAUUGGGUUCACUGUAACAGAUAAUCAGAGCAUUGGAAACGUCUUGGAUGAUAAUGAUCACAUCGCUGUGCAUUGUUUUGAACACUCCGUAGACCUCAUUGUAACUGAAGCCAUAAAGAGUCAGAGGAUGGUUCAGAACCUGUUGAGUAUUGCUCGUAAAAUCUGUGAGCGUGUUCACCGCACAGCGAAAGCAAAAGAGAAAUUGAUGGAGCUUCAAAGGGAAUAUCACUUACCAGAAAACCAGCUGGUCCAGGACAUUCCCUCCAAGUGGAAAACGUCCCUUUACAUGCUUGAACGUUUAGUGGAACAAAAAAAAGCCAUUGAUGAGAUGUCAGUUGAGUGCAAUUUCAGGGAAUUAAUCAGCUAUGACCAGUGGGAAGUGAUGCAGUCUGUGUGCAAUGCUUUAAAGCCUUUUGAGGUUGCCUGCAGGGAGAUGAGCAAUCGGACUGCUACGUUAGGCCAAGUAAUCCCGCUCAUCCACAUUCUCAACCGAAAAAUAGACUUGCUUUUUGAUGAGACUAUGGGCAUUGACAACAUGCUCAAGUCUCUGAAGGAAGCUAUGAUGAGCCGAAUGUCCUCAACACUUCAUGACCCAAGGUACAUGUGGGCAACAAUGUUAGACCCUCGCUACAAGACCUCACUGUUCACAGAGGGGGAGGCAGAGCAGUGCAAGCAAGACCUCAUACAAGAAAUUGACACAAUAUCUACCUCAGCCAAGAAAACGCAUUUGCUUUCCAAUGGAUGUAGUGAGAUCCGUCCUCCACCAAACAGCAUUCUGAGUAAUAAGGACAACCUCUGGGCCCUCAUGGAUGACAUCAGGAACAAGAUCAAACAAGAAGAGCGACCUAAAUCAUCGGAGCUGGCAGUGCUAGAGUAUCUUGAAGAAGAGAUACUCGAUCAAAGCUGUGAUCCUCUGGAUUAUUGGAACCUGAAGAAGUUCCUGUGGCCAGACCUUGCCAAAGUAGCUGUUCGGCAUGUGGGUUGCCCCCCUAGCGUUGUCCCAGCAGAUACCCUGUUUUUCACAGCGAGUAUAAACUCUGCCCAGAUUCAGUCAAGGCCACUGCUGGAAAAUCUGGAGGAACUAAUCUUUUUAAAGGUCAAUCUUCCCCUGAUAUAUUUUCAGUACUAAAAAGGAUGAGUUUCACAGUGCUCAACUUGGCCCAGUCUAGGAAUAAUUCACAGCCAAGUCUAUGAAUUAUUCCUAAUGUGUCAAUACACUGAAGAUAUUUUGAUCUUAUUGGCUCAGGUACAUCACACAAAGUUUGGACCAGUAACAAAUCAGAUUAGUUCUUAGAAUAUAUUUUGUGCAUAUUACUGUUUAACACUUGAACUGGAGGAAGCCUAUGACCCAGUAAAUGGAGUUUAUCACAGGAGGGAGAGUGUAGCUAUUCAUAUAUGAAUUGAUUUAUUGCUGUUUUUUUUUUUUUGUAAAGCUAUUUUUUCCCUUCUUGUGCCUUAUGCAAAUGACUUCAGGUCAAAAUACACAGUACUUGACUAAUGCUCAACCAUGUUGUAGACUUCAAAUGUAUGCGAUUAUGAUAAGAUCUCGAUACUGAAUUAUGUUUUUUAUACAAGUGACAAACAAAACAAAAACCGGAUUUUUUAAAUUGUGAAAUUGUUAGUUAUGGUACUGUCCGAGAGGUAGUUUUCUUUUUAACUUCUUGAAACUAUCUCUAAAUAGACUAUGAAUUAGUGCUGUAUUUACAAUUGAAGCAAUCUGUUUUAAGAUAUUUUUUCUUAAGCACAAUUAGUCUUCUGAGGGAUUAAAUUAUUAGUCACUGCUGAGUGAAAUGACACUGUACAUUUAUGAAUUCUGUUCAGAAUGUCAUGCUUGUGUAAGGAUUAAGACUGGAAUUAUGCUAAUGUUGUACCUUGUAAAUAAAAAACAUUUUCCUUGGA